ACGUAUCUCUGACGGCGAGGGUGCGCCCUGCUCCGGACCGAAAGGACGUGCAGCGGGCGAGCCCGAGUCGCUCAACCUUUGCAAACCCCACUGUGCACUUUUGUCGGCAGAAGGUCCCACGUGGCCUUGGCCGGAUCACAAACUCCAAGUUUGAUGUGAAUGUGUAGCGGACCAUGUGCCGCCUAAACUUUAA
rnacentral:misc_RNA from 1 species